rnacentral:lncRNA from 1 species
CUUCACCACUGUGUUCCUGGAGGAAAUUUAGAGUUUUUUUCCCUUAAUGACUCUGGUUCUUAUCUCAUCCUUAAGUUUCUUGAGGGCAGGGACUUGGCCUUCUUCAUCUUUAUAUCCCUGGCACCUAACAUGUUGCUGGGUCCCUAGUAAAUCCCUUGAAAGGAGCCAGACUAAGGGACGGAAAGUGCAAGCGUUUCUGAGGAUGCGUUCCUUAGGAGGUCUCUUUUUAAAAUUUCUCUUCUUCUUUAAAAGGGGGGAAGUUCCUCGAGGUUAUCGAGAGCACAGGAGCUUCUUUCUGAGCUCCGGAACAUUUGUGAGAAAUGGAACUUGCACGUGUCUAUUUGGAAGCCUUCCUGGAGCCUGCUGGUCAUCCCUCAUCUGCAAGCUGAAAAUAACCCUUGCGCUCCCAUCAAGUCUGCGAGGCCCUGACUACGCCUCUGUCCCGAAGAACUCGAUGAAUUAUUAUUGCUCUUGCCUGAGCUCAUGGCCUCAGAGAUCUCCUCCGGUUUCAGAGCAUUCCCACAUUCCUCUGUCCCUUUGAGUUGUGUCUUUGACAGUUUUCUGAAGUCUGCCUUCUGCACACAAGGCAGGUUUCCCCCGAGGAAUCCCUUUCUUAGUCUUUGCAUAUCAUCUAUGGAUGGCCCUUCCUUCCACGUCACUCCAGAUUCUUAUUUUCAUUCUACAACAUGUGGUGGCACACUUUAGAUGUCUGCUUCUGAUUGAGUUCCAUUAAAGAUUAAUUAUUCUGGAGCAAGCAGGGUGCUCGGCGCUUCCAUUUGCCAUUGACUUGCAGAAAACCCCUGCAUUGCUGUCCCAUUUGUACACAGGAAAAUACCAUCACUGGGAAAGCUAGACUUGCAGUGAGUCGUUGAGCAGCUCCUUCAUUCAGAAGGAAUGAAGCCCUUGUCCCAGGAGAAGCAGUGGCAGAGGGCAACCAGGGUGGGCUGAAGCAUGGGAGGUGGGCAGAGGACCCAGUUGCAGGGGGUCCACCAUGCUGGCAUGGGCCUGGGGCAUGAUGGGCUGGGGAAGGCCAGGGUGGGAUGACCUGACCUGUCACUCCAUGGCCGCCCAGCCCAGGCCGGUGCAGGCACCUGCUCCACACAGUGCCGCAGCCCCAAAGCUCGAACAUUCCCCAUCCACUGACCUGGACCUCUAGCUUCUUGAUGAAUGGUGGGAAAGCAGAAGUGGGGGCAGAGCUAAAAGUUGAGACUCAAGGGCCAACCAAUAGCAUUGGUAUUUCCCAAAACCUGAUUAGCAUAAAUUUGGACUAAUAGCAUUGACCAAGUACUACAAAAACCCCGAGACUAGCUCGCUCAAGCAGCAACCCCCC